rnacentral:rRNA from 1 species
CCUACGGGUGGCAGCAGUGGGGAAUAUUGGACAAUGGGGGGAACCCUGAUCCAGCCAUGCCGCGUGUGUGAAGAAGGCCCUCGGGUUGUAAAGCACUUUCAGUGAGGAAGAACGCCUGGUGGUUAAUACCCAUCAGGAAAGACAUCACUCACAGAAGAAGCACCGGCUAACUCCGUGCCAGCAGCCGCGGUAAUAUGGAGGGUGCGAGCGUUAAUCGGAAUUACUGGGCGUAAAGCGCGCGUAGGUGGCUUGAUAAGCCGGUUGUGAAAGCCCCGGGCUCAACCUGGGAACGGCAUCCGGAACUGUCAAGCUAGAGUGCAGGAGAGGAAGGUAGAAUUCCCGGUGUAGCGGUGAAAUGCGUAGAGAUCGGGAGGAAUACCAGUGGCGAAGGCGGCCUUCUGGACUGACACUGACACUGAGGUGCGAAAGCGUGGGUAGCAAACAGGAUUAGAUACCCGAGUAGUC